rnacentral:rRNA from 1 species
GAUGAACGCUAGCGGCAGGCCUAAUACAUGCAAGUCGGACGAUUUUCAUAGAGCUUGCUUUAUGAGGGGAGUGGCGUACGGGUGCGUAACGCGUAUGGAACCUACCUUUAUCAGGGGGAUAGCCUUUCGAAAGGGAGAUUAAUACCGCAUAAUAUUAUUUAGUGGCAUCACUAGAUGAUCAAAUAUUUUGAAUAGGAUAAAGAUGGUCAUGCGUGACAUUAGCUAGUUGGUUAGGUAACGGCUGACCAAGGCGACGAUGUCUAGGGGAUCUGAGAGG